CAUCAAAAUUUCUCUAAAUUCCUUAGAUUCUAUACGUUAUUUCCUUGAAAAUUCCUUGAAAUUUCAUUAGGCGGUUUCCAGUGCUUUUGUAGCAAUACAAAGGAUUUAAUCAAUUUUAAAGGCACAAAAUAGCACAACUAACAAAGAUGAUUGCUAGCUAAAAAACCACAGGCUAUUAUACUGUUUAAAAUUAAAUAUUUGUCAUGAGUUUACAACAUACACCUUUCCAUUGAUA